rnacentral:rRNA from 1 species
AGAGCGAACGCUGGCGGCAGGCCUAACACAUGCAAGUCGAACGGACCCUUCGGGGUUAGUGGCGGACGGGUGAGUAACACGUGGGAACGUGCCUUUAGGUUCGGAAUAGCUCCUGGAAACGGGUGGUAAUGCCGAAUGUGCCCUUCGGGGGAAAGAUUUAUCGCCUUUAGAGCGGCCCGCGUCUGAUUAGCUUGUUGGUGAGGUAAUGGCUCACCAAGGCUACGAUCAGUAGCUGGUCUAGAGAGGAUGACCAGCCACA